rfam:Aspergillus nomius NRRL 13137 contig00568, whole genome shotgun sequence.
GCCUCUAUAGCUCAGUGGUAGAGCGCUUGACUUGUAGCUUGAUGAUAUCAAGAGGUCCGUGGUUCAAUCCCGCGUGGAGGCA